CAGGGAGUUAACAGCACGCUGGAUACAAGCAUCACCAGAUAGGAAUAAAGUGUGACCAGCCUGGUCUGCCCCACUGCAGGGUCUCUCAUUGAGCAUGGAGCUCACCAAAUAUGCUAUGCUAGCUGGCCAGUGAGCCCCGGAGAUUCACCUUCCCAGCACUAGGAUUACAAAGACCUCCAGUACUGGAAAACUCAAGCAGGGAUUUUUAAAAGAGCCCAGCCUGCACCUUCAGGAUAAGAGUCUUGGCUUUCUAGUCUUCACACUUGAGACUGAGGGCUAUGCCCUUCCCUUCCCAACAUGAAGUUUACUCCCUCUGCUUCUUUGGAAACACACACAGGGAAGAAGCAUCUUUGCUGCCAUGUCAUUUAUGGCCCUGGAGAGAGUCAUAAAACCGCAGGAGUAGCAGCAGAUGCAUCCAGGCUAUUAAAGAAAACAAGGUGGAAUUUAGGGAUUUUUAUCCUCCAUAUCCAAAUGCCUUCCUUAACCCUAAAUACAGGGUAGAGGAGAACAACCUUGAGUAGCUGGAAAUCAUUUGUCUUCCUCCUGUGAAUUUUUACUCACAAAGGAAGCAUAGCUCCAUGCCUGGAGCUGUAUGGGCCUUCUGCAGUCCAUGUUUUACAGUCUGAUAAUUAUGUUAUAAAAGUCUAAGUAACUCAAAAUUGCUUUUUGGAAUUAGGGGUCUGAGAAAAGAGUGUCCAGGUCACAGAGCAGAAUAGAAAAUAAGGAAGUAAAAUAUUCCUUCUCCCCAUCUCCAAGCUGGAGAAUUAUGAAACAUCUUUGGAAACAAAUCAGGGCGUCUAAUCUAUCUCCUGGUGCAAGUGGGGAAGUUGGGUGUUUCUCCAGCCACAAUGCAGGGCAGAGAUCCAGAGGCAAGCUGGGAUCAUGGUACUUCAGGGAUAACAUUUCAAUGAGUUCUGGAGGGAAGUCCACAAAUGCAAACCAGAGGACUGGAUGGAGUGUUCCUCUCUUCUGGAAGCUCCUGGGUGCAGGACAAAAGACUGGAGAUGCACAGAGGACACAGACUCAUGGAUAAACCACCCAUGUAUAGAAAGUACAAGCUGGAAGCAUCUUGGGAUGUAGGCUAACACCCAUGGAUGGUAUCAGUCCAUGUGCUUGGUGGCCUCAUGUCAGGAAACAGGGCAGCAGGGCAGGGGAGCAUCCACCUGGAACCUGUCCCCACUGGAUUGCCAGGAUGCCUCUCCGAGAAGCCUGUCUCAUUUUGUUCUCUUUAGAAGCACUCUGCUUGCAGCCCCUCUGUGAUUUAUCCUUUAUCUGCCAUCAUGAAUGUGUUUAGUAAGCAUCAUUUGUGCUUCCCCAUCACAGACAUACCAUUUUUCUCUAACUCAGAA
rnacentral:lncRNA from 1 species